UACGUAGGGUGCGAGCGUUGUCCGGAAUUACUGGGCGUAAAGGGCUCGUAGGCGGCCAACUAAGUCAGACGUGAAAUCCCUCAGCUUAACUGGGGAACUGCGUCUGAUACUGGAUGGCUUGGAUUUGGGAGAGGAAUGCGGAAUUCCAGGUGUAGCGGUGAAAUGCGUAGAUAUCUGGAGGAACACCGGUGGCGAAGGCGGCAUUCUGGACCAAUAUUGACGCUGAGGAGCGAAAGCCAGGGGAGCAAACGGG
rnacentral:rRNA from 1 species